rnacentral:ncRNA from 1 species
UUCUUCGGGGCAGCGUGUGAUUCGCGACCGACGGUGACAGUCCGUGAGCUGCGUAAGCAGUUGAUUUGGUGCAAUUCCAAAACCGACAGUAUAGUCUGGAUGGGAGAAGAA